rnacentral:rRNA from 1 species
UACAGAGGUGGCAAGCGUUGUUCGGAAUUACUGGGCGUAAAGGGCGCGUAGGCGGCCUUCUAAGUCAGACGUGAAAUCCCCCGGCUUAACCUGGGAACUGCGUCUGAUACUGGAAGGCUUGAGUGCGGGAGAGGGAUGUGGAAUUCCAGGUGUAGCGGUGAAAUGCGUAGAUAUCUGGAGGAACACCGGUGGCGAAGGCGGCAUCCUGGACCGACACUGACGCUGAGGCACGAAAGCGUGGGGAGCAAACAGG